rnacentral:lncRNA from 1 species
AAAGGCUGAUAUUAAAGCAGUGACAUUCACAUUCACACGAUAACUGGUGAAUCCUGCUAAGUUGAUAAACUGAUAAAGCUAGCCAUACCCUAUUGACACGUGGAAGAUAAACCACUCACUAUUUCCACAAGCCCCUCUUCUUAUAUAUCCUCACAUCUCAAGUGAGAGCAGAGCAAAGCAAAGCAAAGAAAAUUUUUGUAAAAAUGGCCAGUAUUUCAGGUACCAUGGUUAGCACCUCUUUCCUCCCAAGGAAACCAGUAGUGACUAGCCUGAAAGCCAUACCAAAUGUUGGGCAAGCUCUCUUUGGUCUUAAAUCUCAGAGGGGUGGUAGGAUUACUUGCAUGGCCAGUUACAAAGUGAAGCUU